GGCUGGGUAUCUCAGUUGGCUAGAGAGCACGGUUCAUACCCGUGAUGUCGUGAGUUCGAGCCUCACUCCAGCCACCA
rnacentral:tRNA from 1 species